rnacentral:rRNA from 1 species
UACAGAGGUGGCAAGCGUUGUUCGGAAUUAUUGGGCGUAAAGAGCUCGUAGGCGGCUUGUCACGUCGGGUGUGAAAGACCGGGGCUUAACUCCGGUUCUGCAUUCGAUACGGGCUAGCUAGAGUGUGGUAGGGGAGAUCGGAAUUCCUGGUGUAGCGGUGAAAUGCGCAGAUAUCAGGAGGAACACCGGUGGCGAAGGCGGAUCUCUGGGCCAUUACUGACGCUGAGGAGCGAAAGCGUGGGGAGCGAACAGG